AUUUUUAUAUGAAUAUUUUUGUGUUGUAGAAUGAAUCAUCUGAUUUUCAUAUUUCUAAUGGGGAAAUUCACUUUGAUACACAAGUUCUUUGGAUUUCAGCAAGUUCCUGGAAUGCUUGCAAACCAAGAUUUUAUUGUACUCUGACUUGAGCCCUGGAGACAUGAACCUGAGGGGCGAUCUAAUCCUCUGUCCUCUUGAGGUCACACGGUUGACAGAGUCCAGUCAUUAUGGCUCUUUAUGCUCAAAGAGACACAUGGAGGAGAAGCAGAAAGCGUCUUGAUGGCUGUACUGGUGAGAAUCAUAUCAAAGUUCUGGAG
rnacentral:lncRNA from 1 species